rnacentral:rRNA from 1 species
UACGAAGGGGGCUAGCGUUGCUCGGAAUUACUGGGCGUAAAGCGCACGUAGGCGGCUUUCUAAGUCGGGGGUGAAAUCCUGGAGCUCAACUCCAGAACUGCCUUCGAUACUGGAGAGCUCGAGUCCGGGAGAGGUGAGUGGAACUGCGAGUGUAGAGGUGAAAUUCGUAGAUAUUCGCAAGAACACCAGUGGCGAAGGCGGCUCACUGGCCCGGUACUGACGCUGAGGCGCGAAAGCGUGGGGAGCGAACAGG